UCCUGGCUUCACCAGCCACUUUUCAGGUGGCAGGGUGCCCUGGCUGAUUUCAGCUGGCCACCUGGGGACAGCUGAGUGCCAGGAUGCCAAGGCUGUGAAAGCAGAACAACUAAGCCCUGCUCUCCAACCUAGGUCGGUCAGGAUGAGACUUCUGAUUCUUGGCAGGCAGAGUCAGUGCCCACUUCAGCCGGAAGCAUCCAAAGAAGAUGAACUGUAUUGGAGACCACUACACAGAGGCUCUGAGCAGGAUUGAAUAUUAACCUAUUGGCUUUGCAUGUUUACUUGUGAGUUGUCUAAAGGUUAGGCACCUUGUCCAAAGAUGGGCAGCAGACAUAGUAAAUGAACCUCUAUGAGUCACUGGUCACCCCUGAGGCCUAUAUUGACCUGUGAAUCUGUGACGCCUCAAAGAAUGAGAUAAGGCCACAGCUGAGGACAUUUGGCUCCAACCCCAAUUAACUUAAAGGAGACUAUAGCUGCAGGCAUCUCACUCCUGCUGUGAAGGCCUUCAUGGAGAUAACAUAAUUCCCCUAAAUUAACGAAAGUAUUAUGGUUUCUGGGAUUGCAAGAGAGCUUAGCAAGGAGCAAGAGCAGUGGGACAGUAGCUUCCAUGGCCAUGAGGAAUAUUUUUCUCCUUUUUAAAUGCUACAGUUUUAAGAAGAAAUACUCCAAAAAAAAAAGAAGAAAUACUCCCUUAGUAAUGACUUCUGAACCAAUAUCUAAUU